rnacentral:rRNA from 2 species
AGCGAACCGGGAAGAGCUCAAAUUUGAAAUCUGGCGUCCUCCGGGCGUCAGAGUUGUAAUCUACAGAGGCGUUUUCCGCGCCGGUCCGUGUCCAAUUCCCUUGGAACAGGGUAUCAAAGAGGGUGACAAUCCCGUACUUGACACGACCGCCGGUGCUUUGUGAUACGUCUUCUAAGAGUCGAGUUGUUUGGGAAUGCAGCUCAAAACGGGUGGUAAAUUCCAUCUAAGGCUAAAUAUUGGCGAGAGACCGAUAGCGAACAAGUACCGUGAGGGAAAGAUGAAAAGCACUUUGGAAAGAGAGUUAAACAGUACGUGAAAUUGUUGAAAGGGAAACGAUUGAAGUCAGUCGUGUCCGAGGGGUUCAGCCGGUCCUGCCGGUGCAUUCCUCUCGGACGGGUCAACAUCGGUUUUGUCCGGCGGAAAAGGGCGUGAGGAAUGUGGCACCUCCGGGUGUGUUAUAGCCUCGCGUCGCAUACGUCGGUCGAGACCGAGGAACGCAGCUCGCCUUCAUGGCCGGGGUUCGCCCACGUACGAGCUUAGG